rnacentral:rRNA from 1 species
CAAUAGCGUAUAUUAAAGUUGUUGCAGUUAAGAAACGCUCGUAGUCGGAUUUCGGGGCGGGCCGACCGGUCUGCCGAUGGGUACUGCACUGGUCGGCGCGUCCUUCCUUCCGGAGACCGUGCCUACUCUUAACUGAGCGGGGGCGGGAGACGGAUCGUUUACUUUGAAAAAAUCAGAGUGUUUCAAAGCAGGCAGCUCGCUCUUGCAUGGAUUAGCAUGGGAUAAUGAAAUAGGACUUUGGUGCUAUUUUUGUUGGUUUUCGAACACCGAAGUAAUGAUUAAAAGGGACAGUCAGGGGCACUCGUAUUCCGCCGAGAGAGGUGAAAUUCUCAGACCAGCGGAAGACGAACCACUGCGAAAGCAUUUGCCAGGAUGUUUCACUGAUCAAGAACGAAGUUAGGGAUCGAAGAUGAUCAGAUACCGU